AUACGGAGGAUGCGAGCGUUAUCCGGAUUUAUUGGGUUUAAAGGGUGCGUAGGCGGAUUUUUAAGCGUGAGGUGAAAUGCCCGGGCUCAACCUGGGAACUGCCUCGCGAACUGGGAGUCUUGAAUGCCCCUGCCGUGGGAGGAAUGUGUGGUGUAGCGGUGAAAUGCAUAGAGAUCACACAGAACACCGAUUGCGAAGGCAUCUCACGAAGGGGUGAUUGACGCUGAGGCACGAAAGCGUGGGGAUCAAACAGGAUUAGAUACCCUGGUAGUCCACGCAGUAAACGAUGAUAACUAACCGCUGGGCUUUUUGUGGUUCAGUGGCCAAGCGAAAGCGAUAAGUUAUCCACCUGGGGAGUACGACCGCAAGGUUGAAACUCAAAUGAAUUGACGGGG
rnacentral:rRNA from 1 species